UGUGUUUGUCUCUGUGUGCAUUUUUGUUUGUUUGUUGUUGUUGUUUUCGUGUGAUAAUGUUGCUGUUGUCGAUUUUUCAGUUUUGCGCUCCAUUCUUCUUUAGAAUAGUUAUAAUGUGGUGGUUUUUAAGAACAGAACGUCGGGCCAGCCAACAGCAACAACGUUUGCGACGCUGAUACGUCACUCUAGACGACGUAUUUUGUACGUAGUUUUUUGUAUUUCAUUUAAUAUGACCACGAUUUCUCGAUUUGUUUUCAAUUUUUGUGUAAAAUAAUAACGAAACCCGUGUUUUAGAACGUUUAAAUGAAAUUUUAUUUGAGGUUUUUGUCAUUUUCGGGAGGGGGUACAUUCUACGAGUGCGGCGUGUAAGAGUGAAUGUUUAAUUUUUAUUUUGUGAGAAGAGUUAUGUGUGCAUUCGUUAUUAGUCGCUUUUAUACAACGCAUCCGAUAUGCAACGGAAAGGCAAAUUCGGACGCGGCCCGAGUCCAACCGAGUAGCGUCCGAUCGCGUCUAUCGAUAUAUUCGCAAUCGUUGCAUUACGCGCUCACUUGCUCGCCGCUAAAUACGCUCCAACAACAUUUACGCGUUCUUGUAAUAAAACAACAACAACUACAACAAUAAUAAUAAUAAAAAAUACAACAACAAACAACCUACAACUUUACAAAAAUUUUAUUAUUAUUUUUUUUUUAUUUUUUGU